rnacentral:rRNA from 1 species
GGUGAUCUACCCAUGUCCAGGAUGAAGGUAAGGUAAUACUUACUGGAGGUCCGAACCCACGCACGUUGAAAAGUGCGGGGAUGAGGUGUGGGUAGCGGAGAAAUUCCAAUCGAACUUGGAGAUAGCUGGUUCUCUCCGAAAUAGCUUUAGGGCUAGCCUCGAGGUAAAGAGUCAUGGAGGUAGAGCACUGUUUGGACUAGGGGCCCUUCUCGGGUUACCGAAUUCAGAUAAACUCCGAAUGCCAUGUACUUAUACUCGGGAGUCAGACUGCGAGUGAUAAGAUCCGUAGUCGAAAGGGAAACAGCCCAGACCACCAGUUAAGGUCCCCAAAUAUAUGUUAAGUGGAAAAGGAUGUGGGGUUGCUUAGACAACCAGGAUGUUGGCUUAGAAGCAGCCACCAUUGAAAGAGUGCGUAAUAGCUCACUGGUCGAGUGACCCCGCGCCGAAAAUGUACCGGGGCUAAACAUAUUACCGAAACUGUGGAUGAACCUCUUUAGAGGUUCGUGGUAGGAGAGCGUUCUAAGGGCGGUGAAGUCAGACCGGAAGGACUGGUGGAGCGCUUAGAAGUGAGAAUGCCGGUAUGAGUAGCGAAAGAAGGGUGAGAAUCCCUUCCACCGAAUAUCUAAGGUUUCCUGAGGAAGGCUCGUCCGCUCAGGGUUAGUCGGGACCUAAGCCGAGGCCGAUAGGCGUAGGCGAUGGACAACAGGUAGAGAUUCCUGUACCAGUGCUAAUUGUUUAACCGAUGGGGUGACACAGAAGGAUAGGGAAUCGCACGAAUGGAAAUGUGCGUCCAAGCAGUGAGUGUGAGAAGUAGGCAAAUCCGCUUCUCGCGAAGCAUGAGCUGUGAUGGGGAAGGAAAUUAAGUACGGAAGUUCCUGAUUUCACGCUGUCAAGAAAAGCCUCUAGGAAGAGUAGUACUGCCCGUACCGCAAACCGACACAGGUAGAUGAGGAGAGAAUCCUAAGGUGAGCGAGAGAACUCUCGUUAAGGAACUCGGCAAAAUGACCCCGUAACUUCGGGAGAAGGGGUGCUCUAUUAGGGUGCAAGCCCGAGAGAGCCGCAGUGAAUAGGCCCAGGCGACUGUUUAGCAAAAACACAGGUCUCUGCAAAACCGUAAGGUGACGUAUAGGGGCUGACGCCUGCCCGGUGCUGGAAGGUUAAGAGGAGUGCUUAGCUUCGGCGAAGGUACGAAUUGAAGCCCCAGUAAACGGCGGCCGUAACUAUAACGGUCCUAAGGUAGCGAAAUUCCUUGUCGGGUAAGUUCCGACCCGCACGAAAGGCGCAACGAUCUGGGCACUGUCUCAACGAGAGACUCGGUGAAAUUAUAGUACCUGUGAAGAUGCAGGUUACCCGCGACAGGACGGAAAGACCCCGUGGAGCUUUACUGCAACCUGAUAUGGAAUGUUUGUACCGCUUGUACAGGAUAGGUAGGAGCCGAAGAGACGUGUGCGCUAGCAUACGAGGAGGCAAUGGUGGGAUACUACCCUGGCUGUAUGACCAUUCUAACCCGCCACGCUUAGCGCGUGGGGAGACAGUGUCAGGUGGGCAGUUUGACUGGGGCGGUCGCCUCCUAAAGAGUAACGGAGGCGCCCAAAGGUUCCCUCAGAAUGGAUGGAAAUCAUUCGCAGAGUGUAAAGGCACAAGGGAGCUUGACUGCGAGACUGA